GAAUAGCGAUUUGAUAUCUUGACUUUAGGAUCCUCAUGUAUAUUGCACAUGCUGCUUAUAUGUAGGACUUUUGCAUCAACAAUCCAUCUCUUAAGUAUGUAUUUCUUAGGAACAUAUUUUAUAUUAUUGACAUCUAGUAUCUUUAGUGCAUGAGAACAUAAGAUGCCAGCAAACUCAAACUUCUUGCAGCUGCAUAUGACAAUUGAUUCCAAUGGAGAAAACUUAACAGUAUGUUCGUGAUGUUUUCCAUGGACUCUUGAUUUAUACACCUUUUCUGCGCCAUCAUCACCACAGUAAAAUAGAUCACAAUUUAAAGUUUGCAACACUUCCUCCUCAAAUAACUUGAAUAUUGCUGGUGUAUACACUUUUGCUGCUUGCUUAAAUAUUUCCAGUGCUGCCUUCGGCUUUGGUGUACUUUGUGUCGCUCUAAAAUCACAGGCUUUCAUUUCUUUGGGUGGACACCAUAUCAGCAGAGAAUGUGUUUCUGCCAUAUACUAAUGCCCACAGAUAUCGUUUAUCAAAAAGUCAUUGAAGCCAUUUAUUCCCUUGAAGGUUGAAUGUGGUUCUCUCCAUAUUCUCCAGAUAUUCCCAUCCUACCAGGAGGAUCAGCCGUGAAACUCAAUGAUGGAAUUACAACUUUAGCAGGAUCCUUCGUCUGUGCUGAAGUAGUGUAGAAUUCUGAUGGGUCCAUUGCAUCAUAUGGUGUGUUCUAUAGAAUUAGGUAUAGAUGCAGUUCUAUGUUGUGGGUGAUUGCUUGUGGAAUAAAAAUAUUUAUUUUAUUUAUGGCUAGUUUUGGCGGGGCAUUUGUGAGGUCUUGGCGCUGAUGUGUAUUCUAGGCGGUAGCUUUUUUACUUUU